rfam:Desulfobacteraceae bacterium IS3 Ga0073107_10099, whole genome shotgun sequence.
CUGUUUACUAAAAACACAGGACUCUGCUAAGUCGCAAGACGAUGUAUAGGGUCUGACGCCUGCCCGGUGCUGGAAGGUUAAGGGGAUUUGUCAGCGCAAGCGAAGCAUUGAACCGAAGCCCCAGUAAACGGCGGCCGUAACUAUAAAAUUGACCAUUGUAGUUACGUAAAUAAAUAUGGCUAUAUGCUGGAAAAUCCGAGAAUCCUCCGGUACUAAUCACAAAAAAGUGUGUGACAGUGACAAUCCGUGAGGUGCGGACAAUCAGCAGGAAAGACUUUUUUGAAAAAUGUCGUUGAAUGUAAAACAGGUUCCUGAACGAAUCGGUUAUUAUCUUGCAGGAUUUGCGGAUGGAGAAGGAAGUUUUAAUAUAUCUUUCCGUCCGCGUGAAGAUUAUUAUGUACCAUGGAAAGUUUCCGUAUGUUUCAAUGUGUCUCAAAGAGAUAAAGUUGUCUUGACUUUGUUCAGGCGUUAUCUGAAUUGUGGAACGAUGAGACAAAGAGGUGACGGAGUUUGGUAUUAUGAAGUGAAUAAUCUGACUGCUAUUUGGGAGAAUGUGAUUCCUUUUUUUGAAAAGUUUCGUUUUCUUUCUGCAAAGAAAAAACGGGAUUUCAGUAAGUUCAAACAGAUUGCUGUGAGUAUGCGUAACAAUGAUCAUCUUACUGAAGAAGGGAUCAGAAAGAUUCUUGAGAUUCGAAGGGAUAUGAAUGACGGCGGUGUCAAAAGACGUAAAUAUUCUGAGAAAGAAAUAGUUGCGUGUUUUGACAAAAAAGAAUCCUCAGAGACUAUAUGCCAUACACUGUCAGACAGUGAAGAUAUAGUCCGAUCUGUAUAGCGAUAUACAGGGCUUCGGAAGUGAAGCCGCAUUGUCAAUGUAUUUUUGAUAAUGUAACAGGAUGAACGGUCCUAAGGUUAGGGAUAAGCUAGCCUUAGUAAAACUGAACUAUAUGCGGGAAACUCCUCAAAAACUGUUCGAUACUCGUCUGUAACAUACAGGCAGUAAAAAUUCGACAGACAGGGGGACAAUCCGCAGGGAAGACCCGGAUGCACCGGGAACCCUCAGAGACUUUACGUUUAGGAAUGUCCGAUGAAGCUCGACGCUCAAUGGAUUACAGGUUUUGUGGACGGUGAAGGAUGUUUUCAUGUAUCUGUGAAUCCGCAUGAAGAUAUGAAAACAGGUUUUCAAGUUUUACCUGAAUUUACCGUAGUGCAACACAGACGCGAUGUGCAGGUUCUCCAUGCUCUGAAAGAAUAUUUCGGCUGCGGCGUGGUUCGGGUGAAUCACGGCGACCGGAUGGCUUACAGAGUCAGAGGAAAACAGCAUUUGUUGGAGCGCAUCGUUCCAUUUUUCGUCAAGCAUCCCCUGAAAACAGGAAAAUAUGUUGAUUUUAAGAAAUUCAGACGUAUUCUUCUGAAGAUGGGGAAGGAUGAACAUCUGACGGCAGAAGGGGUCGAAGAAAUUCGCACGAUUGCUGCUCAGAUGAACAGAGGAGGACAUUCAAGAUAAAGUCCGGCUUGUUUGGAAACAGAUGAGAUAAACUGAGCGAAAUUCCUUGUCGGGUAAGUAAAUACGAGCCCGUACCGGCUUAUAACGGUGAAGCCCUAACUUUUUGCGGCAAAAGAGCCGUGUUAAAAAGAAGGGUAAUAUCGUGGGAAGUCAGUCUUGCAAAGACUUGACCCCGUAACGACUGAAGCGUAAGCUGAGGUGGUACUUGCUGCCUUUUUACGGCAAAUUUAUAAGUAUCACAAUACGCCGGUAUCUCUUUGAUGGAGUUGAUUUGAUGGAUAUUAAGUCUUAUCUAACCGGUUAUGCUGACGGUGAGGGAUGUUUUUGUAUCUCUUUCAGUAAAAGUAAGAGGCAUAACUUUGGAUGGGAAAUAAGACCGAGCUUCUCUGUAAGUCAGAAUCGUGACAGAUCGGAGGUUUUGAGAAUUUAUAGAGAGGAAUUUGGAUGUGGAACUAUACGUCCAGAUCGGUCUGACAGGACACUCAAAUACGAAAGCCGAAGUGUUAAGGAAUUGAUAAGACGGGUAAUACCUCAUUUUGAAGAUACACCCUUGUUAUCUGGAAAAAGAGAUGAUUUUGAGAAGUUUGCUAUUAUAUGCAGACUCAUGUAUGAGGGUAGUCAUUUUAGAAAAGAAGGUUUUAACCGUAUUGUUGAUUUAGCAUUUGAGAUGAAUCCAUCAGGUAUUAGAAAGUAUUCUAAAGAGGAGAUAAAGAUAUAGUCUGUACUCUUAGAAAUAAGAGAAUUAUACGAAGUUCCGACCUGCACGAAUGGCGUAACGACUUCCGCACUGUCUCAACCAGGGACUCAGUGAAAUUGAAUUCUCGGUGAAGAUGCCGAGUACCCGCGAAAAGACGGAAAGACCCCGGCACCUUUACUAUAGCUUGACAUUGGAUUUUGGAAUUGCAUGUGUAGGAUAGGUGGGAGACUUAGAGACCGGAACGCCAGUUUCGGUGGAGUCAACCUUGAAAUACCACCCUUGUUAUUCUAGAGUUCUAAUUUCGACCCGUUAUCCGGGCGAAAGACAUUGUCUGGCGGGUAGUUUGACUGGGGCGGUCGCCUCCAAAAGAGUAACGGAGGCGCGCGAAGGUUCCCUCAGGCUGAUUGGAAACCAGCCGUGGAGUGUAAAGGCAUAAGGGAGCUUGACUGCGAGAGAGACAUCUCGAGCAGGUACGAAAGUAGGUCUUAGUGAUCCGGCGGUUCUGUAUGGAAGGGCCGUCGCUCAACGGAUAAAAGGUACGCCGGGGAUAACAGGCUUAUCGCCCCCAAGAGUUCACAUCGACGGGGCGGUUUGGCACCUCGAUGUCGGCUCAUCACAUCCCAAGGGUUCGGCUGUUCGCCGAUUAAAGUGGUACGUGAGCUGGGUUUAAAACGUCGUGAGACAGUUUGGUCCCUAUCUUUCGUGGGCGUAGGAUAUUUGAGAGGAUCUGUUCCUAGUACGAGAGGACCGGAAUGGACGAACCAAUGGUGUUCCAGUUGUCGCGCCAGCGGCAUAGCUGGGUAGCUAUGUUCGGAAAGGAUAACCGCUGAAAGCAUCUAAGCGGGAAACCAACCUUGAGAUUAGAUAUCCCCUCUGUAUGGAAACAUACAGACUGAAGACCCCUUGAAGACUACAAGGUUGAUAGGCCGGAUGUGCAAGUUCAGUAAUGAAUUCAGCUUACCGGUACUAAUAGGUCGUGAGGCUUGGCCAC